GUGUCAUCUUAGUAUUUAUAACCAUCAGUUAUGAUUACAUUGACAGCAUCUAAUGGGAGGGAGAGUCCACUAGACCCCAUGGCUGGAAAUCUGAAGAAAGAAAGCUGGCAUGCGUUAUAAAAUCACAAGAAUAGCCAGCACCAUCUCCACAGUCUGUGGAACCCCGCGCGAUACCAAGGGGAUUGGAGCAAGCAAGUUACUCUCUCUGCUUCUCUUUCUAA
rnacentral:lncRNA from 1 species